CCUACGGGUGGCUGCAGUCGAGAAUCUUCCGCAAUGGGCGAAAGCCUGACGGAGCGACGCCGCGUGAUUGAUGAAGUCCCUUUGGGACGUAAAGAUCUUUUAUGAGGGAAGAAGUUUAUUGACGGUACCUCAUGAAUAAGAGGCUCCUAAUCUCGUGCCAGCAGGAGCGGUAAUACGAGAGCCUCGAGCGUUAUCCGGAAUUAUUGGGCGUAAAGGGUGCGUAGGUUGUUCUGUUAGUCUUUUGUAAAAAUCUUGGGCUCAACCCAAGGCACGCAAAAGAAACGGCAGGACUUGAAAGUGCGAGAGGCGUACGGAACUCAUGGUGUAGGGGUGAAAUCCGUUGAUAUUAUGGGGAACACCAAAUGCGAAGGCAGUACGCUGGCGCAUAUUUGACACUGAAGCACGAAAGCAUGGGUAGCGAAUGGGAUUAGAUACCCUAGUAGUCC
rnacentral:rRNA from 1 species